UUCUAUCAACUUCAUUUGUUCCUCAAUUUCUCCAGUGACUGAAACAUUCUUCUCAAUAGUGCUAUAGCCAUUAGGUUCACCUUUCUUCUCACCAAAACCUAAAUUUUGCUACUGGUUGUAAUGAAAAGAGGGCCUCAAAUUUCAAUUUAACAUUACUUGUACCCACCACAAAUAUGAAGACAUCCAUAUCCCACAUACAUUAGCGGUCAUCCACCUGAACAGAUACCUGAAAACAAAAUAUUUUCAGUUCUCAGAAGUAUACCAACACAAAAGUGCACAUAUAACACUUCAGGAUUAACAGGCUUCAUUACCAUGCAUUGGAAAGAGAAAACGCAACCCUGCAUCUUGCAAUUUUUGCUAGUUGCAAGCGUGUACCGCUACUAAUCCGGUCUACACCUAGAGAAAGUUCUGAAACCCUCCACAUAGAGACCGUCAAAUACUGCAGGUCAAAAGUGAAAAUCCAUAUUUUUACACCUGAAUGAUCCAUGGAGAGGUAUAUAAACUGCUGUGAGAAAAAAACAAAUAUGAUUGAAUAUCAAUGGAAGAACAUACAAGAAUAGUGCAGCAGCCACUCAUGAUUUGUAAUCGCCAUGGGACUUGAGUUGCUUAGUUGCUUAAACAGUCUACUGUAGUCACCGU
rnacentral:lncRNA from 1 species